rnacentral:rRNA from 1 species
AUUGAACGCUGGCGGCAUGCCUUACACAUGCAAGUCGAACGGUAACAGGUCUUCGGAUGCUGACGAGUGGCGAACGGGUGAGUAAUACAUCGGAACGUGCCCGAGAGUGGGGGAUAACGAAGCGUAAGCUUUGCUAAUACCGCAUACGAUCUCAGGAUGAAAGCAGGGGACCGCAAGGCCUUGCGCUCACGGAGCGGCCGAUGGCAGAUUAGGUAGUUGGUGGGAUAAAAGCUUACCAAGCCGACGAUCUGUAGCUGGUCUGAGAGGACGACCAGCCACACUGGGACUGAGACACGGCCCAGACUCCUACGGGAGGCAGCAGUGGGGAAUUUUGGACAAUGGGCGCAAGCCUGAUCCAGCCAUGCCGCGUGCAGGAUGAAGGCCUCGGUUGUAACUGCUUUGUACGGUAACGAAAAGGAACUACUGGUUAAUACCUAGGGUCCGAUGACGGUACC